UACAGAGGGUGCGAGCGUUAAUCGGAAUACUGGGCGUAAAGGGUGCGUAGGUGGUUUUGUAAGUUAGGUGUGAAAUUCCUGGGCUUAACCUGGGGACUGCGCCUAAUACUGUGAGGCUAGAGUACUGUAGAGGAAAGUGGAAUUUCCGGUGUAGCGGUGAAAUGCGUAGAUAUCGGAAGGAACAUCAGUGGCGAAGGCGACUUUCUGGACAGAUACUGACACUGAGGCACGAAAAGCGUGGGGAGCAAACAGG
rnacentral:rRNA from 1 species